AGAUGGUGCCUGAGCCUCCACGUGGUUGAGGUGGCAGCCCAAAGGGCUGGGGCCAAAUGGGGGAGCAGCCAAGGUGCUGGACACAAGCCCAGAGGGGUGAAGGCACACACUAACCAGAAGCUGAGAAGGCCGCCUUUGGAAUCAGAUGAGCACUUGCAUUGAGCUGGGCUAGAGG